CUGGCUGCAACUGUUUAAUAAAAACACAGCACUGUGCAAACACGAAAGUGGACGUAUACGGUGUGACGCCUGCCCGGUGCUGGAAGGUUAAUUGAUGGGGUCAGCCGCAAGGCGAAGCUCUUGAUCGAAGCCCCAGUAAACGGCGGCCGUAACUAUAACGGUCCUAAGGUAGCGAAAUUCCUUGUCGGGUAAGUUCCGACCUGCACGAAUGGCGUAAUGAUGGCCAGGCUGUCUCCACCCGAGACUCAGUGAAAUUGAACUCGCUGUGAAGAUGCAGUGUACCCGCGGCAAGACGGAAAGACCCCGUGAACCUUUACUAUAGCUUGACACUGAACAUUGAGCCUUGAUGUGUAGGAUAGGUGGGAGGCUUUGAAGCGUGGACGCCAGUCUGCGUGGAGCCAUCCUUGAAAUACCACCCUUUAAUGUUUGAUGUUCUAACUCUGCCCCAUAAUCUGGGGUGAGGACAGUGUCUGGUGGGUAGUUUGACUGGGGCGGUCUCCUCCCAAAGAGUAACGGAGGAGCACGAAGGUUAGCUAAUCACGGUCGGACAUCGUGAGGUUAGUGCAAAGGCAUAAGCUAGCUUGACUGCGAGAGUGACGGCUCGAGCAGGUACGAAAGUAGGUCUUAGUGAUCCGGUGGUUCUGAAUGGAAGGGCCAUCGCUCAACGGAUAAAAGGUACUCCGGGGAUAACAGGCUGAUACCGCCCAAGAGUUCAUAUCGACGGCGGUGUUUGGCACCUCGAUGUCGGCUCAUCACAUCCUGGGGCUGAAGUAGGUCCCAAGGGUAUGGCUGUUCGCCAUUUAAAGUGGUACGCGAGCUGGGUUUAGAACGUCGUGAGACAGUUCGGUCCCUAUCUGCCGUGGGCGUUGGAAGAUUGAGAGGGGUUGCUCCUAGUACGAGAGGACCGGAGUGAACGCACCACUGGUGUUCGGGUUGUCAUGCCAAUGGCAUUGCCCGGUAGCUAAGUGCGGAAAAGAUAAGCGCUGAAAGCAUCUAAGCGCGAAACUUGCCUCAAGAUGAGUCUUCCCUUGGACUUUGAGUCCACUGAAGGAACGUUUAAGACUAAGACGUUGAUAGGCUGGGUGUGUAAGUGCAGCGAUGCAUUGAGCUAACCAGUACUAAUGAUCCGUGAGGCUUAACCUUACAACACCGAAGGUGUUU
rnacentral:rRNA from 1 species